GUCUACGGCCAUGCCAUCCUGAACAUUCCCGAUCCCAUUUGAUCUCAGAAGCUAAGCUGGGUCAAGCCUGGUUAGUACUUAGAUGGGAGGCCACCUAGGAAUACCAAGUGCUAUAGGCG
rnacentral:rRNA from 1 species